rnacentral:rRNA from 1 species
GCAAGUCGAGCGGACAGAAGGGAGCUUGCUCCCGGAUGUUAGCGGCGGACGGGUGAGUAACACGUGGGUAACCUGCCUGUAAGACUGGGAUAACUCCGGGAAACCGGAGCUAAUACCGGAUAGUUCCUUGAACCGCAUGGUUCAAGGAUGAAAGACGGUUUCGGCUGUCACUUACAGAUGGACCCGCGGCGCAUUAGCUAGUUGGUGAGGUAACGGCUCACCAAGGCGACGAUGCGUAGCCGACCUGAGAGGGUGAUCGGCCACACUGGGACUGAGACACGGCCCAGACUCCUACGGGAGGCAGCAGUAGGGAAUCUUCCGCAAUGGACGAAAGUCUGACGGAGCAACGCCGCGUGAGUGAUGAAGGUUUUCGGAUCGUAAAGCUCUGUUGUUAGGGAAGAACAAGUGCAAGAGUAACUGCUUGCACCUUGACGGUACCUAACCAGAAAGCCACGGCUAACUACGUGCCAGCAGCCGCGGUAAUACGUAGGUGGCAAGCGUUGUCCGGAAUUAUUGGGCGUAAAGGGCUCGCAGGCGGUUUCUUAAGUCUGAUGUGAAAGCCCCCGGCUCAACCGGGGAGGGUCAUUGGAAACUGGGAAACUUGAGUGCAGAAGAGGAGAGUGGAAUUCCACGUGUAGCGGUGAAAUGCGUAGAGAUGUGGAGGAACACCAGUGGCGAAGGCGACUCUCUGGUCUGUAACUGACGCUGAGGAGCGAAAGCGUGGGGAGCGAACAGGAUUAGAUACCCCUGGUAGUCCACGCCGUAAACGAUGAGUGCUAAGUGGUUAGGGGGGUUUCCGCCCCUUAGUGCUGCAGCUAACGCAUUAAGCACUCCGCCUGGGGGAGUACGGUCGCAAGACUGAAACUCAAAGGAAUUGACGGGGGCCCGCACAAGCGGUGGAGCAUGUGGUUAAUUCGAAGCACCGCAAGAACCUUACCAGGUCUUGACCUCCUCGGACGACCCUAGAGAAAGGGCUU